rnacentral:rRNA from 1 species
AAUCAACGCUGGCGGCGUGCCUCAGACAUGCAAGUCGAACGAUUAAAGCUCUCUUCGGAGAGUGCAUAGAGUGGCGCACGGGUGAGUAACACGUAAGUAAUCUACCUUCGAGUGGGGAUAACAGUCGGAAACGACUGCUAAUACCGCAUAAUGCAGCGGCAUCGCAAGAUGACAGUUGUUAAAGGAGCAAUUCGCUUGAAGAGGAGCUGCGGCAGAUUAGCUUGUUGGUAAGGUAACGGCUUACCAAGGCUACGAUCUGUAACCGGUCUAAGAGGACGGUCGGUCACACUGACACUGAAUAACGGGUCAGACUCCUACGGGAGGCAGCAGUCGGG